rnacentral:lncRNA from 1 species
UCCCUUCGUUUCAUAAUAAAUGAAUUGUGAUUUUGGCACACAUAUUAAGGAAAAAACAUUAAAGAAAUAAAUUUAACACAACUUUUUAUUUUUACCCAAAAAAAAAAUUGACCUUGUAAUACAUUUUCAAAAGUUAAUUGGUUGUCAAAUCAUAAAGACAAAUUUAGAAAAAAAUUCAAUGAUUCACUUAUUUUGAAACACCAAUAAAUACCCCAACAAUUCACUUAUUUCAAAAUGGAGUGAGUAACUUCUUAAUACAAUUUAUGAAAGAAAAAGUCAAAAAAGUGAGUUAGUUGGUAGUACUUGAUUUGACAAAGUGAAGCAAUAAUUUUUUUAGAAUUUUUUUUUUUGGUAAGAAACGUAAUAAAAGUUAUAAUUUAUAAAUUGUAAUAAAAAAAUUUAAUUUAUAAAAGUUAAAAAAGUUAUAAAGUUUUAAUUUAUAAUUUUUUUUUAAAUAUCAAAUAUGUACUAUAUACAACUUAUUUUUACUCGUUAUUCUUGUUAUUUGAAUCUACUUACUUAUUAGUGAACUUUAUUUUGAAUGAGAAUAUCAUCAAGAUAAUAUUUAUAUAUGACUUGUAAACAAAAUGUCCUUUAUACAAAGCACUUUGUAUAUCAAUUGUUGCUGCCAUGUGUGAUCUUCGUGACUCAUGUGUGAUCUUCGUGACUCGUUGAAAAAUUCUGUCAACCAUAAAAAUAUUUUUAUUAGAAAACAAAAAUAAAAUCAAGGUUUAGCAAAUAAUAAUAUAAGCAUUAUAGUAUUACAAGAAAAAACAUAUAAAUAUUUCUAUACUAAAAUAACUUUUUGACAGAUUUUAACAUUUUUAUUUUGUUUGUACAGAUUGUGUUUCAAAUCAGAAAUGGAGAGUGUUAAUGUUGAAAAAGAUUCUGCUAAUCAAGAAGGUAAUAUCUCACUUUUAUAAAAUAUUCUUAUAGUUUAUUAUUAUUUGUGUUUCAUGCUUCUAAUUUAAACAUUGUUAUCUUAAAUCACAAUGCAACUAAUUACAAUCAUUUUUCAGGAGCUCAUAAUACUUAUACCAUCGAUAAAAAUUUUGUAUUUGAGAUUGGUAUGAAAUUUUAUUCGGAAGAGGAAUCAUACAAUGCAUACAAUUCAUAUGCCGCGGCAAAAGGUUAUGGUGUUCGAAAAGGUCCAAAGACUCAAAACAGAAAUAAUGAGAUAGCGAGAUGCUUAUUUUUUUGUUCUUGUGAAGGACAAUCUGAUAAGCUUUCUCCUUUUCAAGAAAGGAAGCGACAAAGAUUAGAAUAUAGAUGUUGAUGCUUGGCUUGUAUAAAAUUUCAAAUAUCAAAUGACAUGUGGGAAGUAUGUGAAUUUAAUAAUGUGCGUAGUCAUCCAAUGAUAGAAGGCAAUUUAAGACAUUUCAUACAAUCUGGUCGAAAGCUUACAAGUGCUACCAAAAAUAUUUUUGGUUCUAUGAUCGAGGCUGGUAUUUGCACUAAAAAAACUGUUUGAUAUCUUCAAAAUGAAGCAGGUGGAAUUGAAAAUACAGAAUUUAUUGAGCAAGAUGCUCAUAACUUUAUACAAGCACAUAAGAGAAAUAUGAUUAGUGGUGGAGAUGCUCAAACUUUGAUAAAUCAUUUUAUGCAUUUGCAAUCGGAGGACUCAAAUUUCUUUUAUUUUUUUCAAGUUGAUGAAGAUGGCAGAUUGUGCAACUUUUUUUGGAGAGAUAGCAUAUCUAGAUUGCACUAUGAGUGUUUUGGGCAUGUGAUGAUUUUUGACAUCACAUAUCACACAAAUAAAUAUAACAUGAUUUGUGCGCCAUUUGUUGGAGUAAAUAAUCAUUGGAAAAAUAUUUUCUUUGGAUGUGCAUUCUUGUGUGAUGAAACAAUUGGCUCUUUUAUUUGGCUAUUUCAAACAUUCCUAAAGAGAAUGGGAGGAAAAACACCAACAACAAUUUUUACCGAUCAAGCUCUUGCUAUAGCAGUUGCUAUUAGAGAAGCUUUUCCUGAAACAUAUCAUCUGUUAUGUGUAUGGCACAUUAAAAGAAAUGCUCAGAAAAAUAUACCCCACCUUUACUGGAAACAAGGAUUUCGAAACUACUUUGAUACUCCUUUAUCGAGAUGCAAGUCAGAAUCAAAAUUUGAAGUGACAUGACAGAACAUGAUAUCUGAAUGGAAUUGUGCAAAUAAUACUUGGCUUCAAAAGCUAUAUGAUUUAAGAAAGAAAUGGUGUCCUGCAUUUAGCUGUUUCAUUUUUUUAGCGGACAUUAAAUCAACUCAAAGAAGUGAAAGCACAAAUAGAGUUUUCACAGAAAUGACAUGCAAGACAAUGAGUAUAACUGAAUUUGUGAAGCAAUAUGAGCAACGAACAACUGAAAUGCGUGACAGUGAGGUAAUUGAGGAUUACAAAUGUUGAGGAAAGCCUAAACUUUUCAUAGAAGACUAUGGGAUGUUGAAGCAUGCUGGUAGUAUGUAUACAAGACGAAUUUUUAUAAGGUUUCAACAUGAAUUUUUGCAAGGGAUAACCAAAAAAGUAAUCAAUUUGGAAACUAAUGGGAAUAAAACGAUAUAUACAGUUUUAAAGAGUGAAAGUGAGCAAAUUGAAACUGUCCAGUUCAAUUCUCUUGAUAAUUCUAUUUUCUGUAGUUGUCAAAUGUUUGAAAACAUGGGUUGAUUGUGUUGUCAUGCAUUAAAAGUUUUAUUCUUUGACUUAAAUUUUUCUUGUAUACCUGAGAAAUACAUUUUGAAAAGAUGGACUAAGAAUGCCAAGCAUGACAGUGGAUUUGAGGAGUACACACACACAAAAAAAGACAAUGAAAUCUUCAAUGGCAAUUCGCUUAAAUGAAUUAAUGAAGGAGUCUUUUACUGUUAUGACUUUAGCAGCAAAUGACUUGGACUCCGAGAAAAUUGCCCGAAAAUAUUUGUAUCAGACAAAGAUUGAGAUUAUUAAGCAUCAAAGUGAAUUGUAUGCUGAAAAUUAUGAGAAGGAUAAGAAUAAGCUCAGUGAAACUGAUCCUGUUAUAGAAUUCAAUUAAGAAAAAAGACAAGAGAAGUGGAUACGGAAGAAUGAAGUUAAGAGGUGAACAAAGAAAAAAAAAAGCAUCACAAAAGACAUUGAAAUAUAAAGCAGCAGAUAAACAUCAGUCUUUUACUGCUAUGGCACCGAGCUUUGAAACACAAUCAACUUUAAUGCAAGGCUUCACUGAACUAAAUUUUUAGAUUAUUUUCCUUCAUCAAACUAAAUAUUUUUAAUCAUUGUCUUACUACUUUAUUUAUCUACCAAUUUUGACUCUUUUUUUUUCUAUUAAAAUUCAUUUACUAAACUUGAUUUUUUUCUUUUUAAAUUCAAACCUACAGGUACAUGGAGAUUCACACAAAAAUUUCAGUCAAUUAUCAACACAAAACUUGAAUCUGCCUUCUGCAGUGUACUUUCAAAGUCAAGGUUCAAACAAUGCAUUAGAAAAUGUUGAUAUCAAUGAAAAGGGAAUAUAGCAGAUCUGAGCAGCAUAUUUUGUAAUAUAUUUUAUCUUUUUUGAACAUUACAAAGACAAAUAUUUUGCUAUUUUGGCAUUAGAAAUGACAUGCAAACAAAGAUAUGCAGAGAUCUAAAUUUUAUUACUUAUUUUAUAUAAUUUUUUUUCAUAUUUAGAUGAAUUUGUAGAAAAAAAAUUAAUCAUGAAGAUGGAGAUAGAUUCGUACUUGAAAAUAUGAAUAAUCAAAAAUUUCAAAUGAAGAUGGAGUAACUGAGGUAGAUUUGAGUAAAGAAUGAAAAUUUGAGAACAAAGCUUCAAUUUUUUUUUAUCUUUAACACAUCAAUUUUUUUUCAACAUUAGCAGCAUCCCAAAUUGCCAAUGAAUAUUUAAAUAUUAGUAUUUAAAGAAAUUGCAAAUUCAAUAUC